UCUGUUGGCUAUAACAAUGCAGAACCGAUCAAGACUUCUUUUAGAACUAUGUACAGUUGCAUUAAGUUCAAUGCCAUGGGCAGCAAGACUAUUUUAGUUCAAUUACUUUGAUUGUCUUAUUGGUGCAUUUUUAAUCUGGGUUGUGUUUCAAGCAUACAGAAAAAAAGAUGACUGUUCUGAAUGGAUUGGUAGGCAAGAGAUAUCUCUUUACUGAUCCGAAGGAUGAAAACGGAUUGUUAUGACUUGGUAAUGGAAAAACCGUAUCUGUUAUGGUAAAUAACUUUUUUAGCCGUGGCCUCGGGACCGACGCGGUUCGUUCAGGGGUCCGAAUGGCGGGGAUCUUGCGUGGCAUGCCUCGGGUCCUUCUGGUGGCCGACCACGGUGAUCUGGAUGUCCCGUCAGGGGGAGAGCUCUGCCGCAGCGUCGGGGAAGAGGCAACCUCGUCUCGCACCUGCACACUGGUCGGGUCGGAGGCUCGACCCGGCCUCUCCGACGAUCAAGUUAGCGACGUGGAGAGGGUGGUGGAAGAGGGAGUGCUUCUGUGGGCAGGACAGUACCUCUCGUGGCGUCUGACAUUGCCAUUGGGGUUGCGUGGAGAACCGGGCUGCCGUAGGGUAUGGGCACGCCUCGGUCGACGUGCUCCUUUGCCUCGGUCGAGCGCACGGAGUCAAAUGCUGAGGUUGUUGGCUGAGAGCUGGUGACGUUGGCGCACAUCAAGUCGGCAUUAAUGCUUGCUUCCUCGGGCAGUGCGUCCACCUGGCGUGGUUGACGUCGUGGCGUGUCACGUCGCCAUUUUUUCCCUUAUCAUAUUCCCCCCCCCCCGAAAGGAGCUAUGCGUCGGUUGUCACGCAAGGGGAGUCCGAUGCAUGGCUUCUGUCUUCAGGUGGGCUGGCCGUACGGACACAGUUUCGGGGAGAAUGGAGCCGAGGAGCACGACGCAGGCGGGCUGGCCGCGCAGGCGUGGUAUCGGGUGGCGUAAAGCCGAGGAACCGAGGAGCACGACGCAGGCGGGCUGGCCGCGCAGGUGUGUCCCGGGUGGCAUUAAGCCGAAGAGCCGAGGAGCACGACGCAGGUGGGCUGGCCGCGCAGGUGUGUCCCGGGUGGCGUAAAGCCGAAGAGCCGAGGAGCACGACGCAAGCGGGCCGGCCGCGCAGGUGUGUCCCGGGUGGCGUAAAGCCGAAGAGCCGAGGAGCACGACGCAGGCGGGCCGGCCGCGCAGGCGUGGUCUUCAGGCAACACGCAGCCGAGGAGCACGGCGCAAGCGGGCUGGCCGCGCAGGCGUGUCUCGGGGAGUAUGGAGCCGAGGGGCACGAAGCAGGCGGGCUGGCCACGCUGGUGUGUCUCGGGAACACGGAGCCAAGGAGCACGACGUAGGCGGGCUGGUCGCGUAGGUGUGUCUCGGGGAUGAUGGGAACGAGGAGCAUGACGCAGGCGGGCCGGCCGCGCAGGUGUGUCCUAGGUGGCGUAAACCCGAAGAGCCGAGGAGCACGACACAGGCGGGCCGGCCGCGCAGGCGUGGUCUUCGGGCAACACGCAGCCGAGGAGCACGACGCAGGCGGGCCGACCGCGCAAGCGUGGUCUUCGGGCAACACGCAGCCGAGGAGCACGGCGCAGGCGGGCUGGCCGCACAGGCGUGUCUCGGGGAGUAUGGAGCCGAGGGGCACGAAGCAGGCGGGCUGGCCACGCUGGUGUGUCUCGGGAACACGGAGCCAAGGAGCACGACGCAGGUGGGCUUGUCGCGCAGGUGUGUCUCGGGGAUGAUGGGAACGAGGAGCACGACGCAGGCGGGCAGGCCGCACAGGUGUGGUCUCGGGCAUCAUGCUGCCGAGGAGCACGACGCAGGCGAGCAGACCGCGUAGGCGUGGUCACGAGGGCCAUGCGGCCGAAUAGCACGACGCAGGCGGGUAGGACGCGCGGACGUGGUCUCGGACACCAUGCGACCGAGCAGCACGACAUAGGCGGAUAGGCUGUACCGAGGUGGAUCUCGGUAGUGUGUGACCGAGGUGCUCGGCGCAGGCAGGCUGCGAUCGAGGAGCUCUCGGGCAAGCUGUGGCCGAGGAGCUACUUAGGCGGGCAGGCCGCACAAAGGUCUCGGACCGGCUGUGGCCGAGGAGCUCUCGGGCAGGCUGUGGCCGAGGAGCUACUUAGGCGGGCAGGCCGCGCAAAGGUCUCGGACCGGCUGUGGCCGAGGAGCCGAGGAGCCGAGGAGCUACUUAGGCGGGCAGGCCGCGCAAAGGUCUCGGAUCGGCUGUGGCCGAGGAGCUCUCGGGCAGGCUGUGGCCGAGGAGCCGAGGAGCUACUUAGGCGGGCAGGCCGCGCAAAGGUCUCGGACCGGCUGUGGCCGAGGAGCUCUCGGGCAGGCUGUGGCCGAGGAGCUACUUAGGCGGGUAGGCCGCGCAAAGGUCUCGGACCGGCUGUGGCCAAGGAGCCGAGGAGCCGAGGAGCUACUUAGGCGGGCAGGCCGCACAAAGGUCUCGGACCGGCUGUCGACCCUCGGCAGUCGGCCCUCGGCCUUCGGAUCCCUCGUCAUUCAGGCUCUCCUUCUAGCGCCAAUCUGUUAUGGUAAAUAACUUUUUUAGCCGUGGCCUCGGGGCCGACACGGCUCGUUCAGGGGUCCGAAUGGCGGGGAUCUUGCGUGGCGUGCCUCGGGUCCUUCUGGUGGUCGACCGCGGUGAUCUGGAUGUCCCGUCAGGGGGAGAGCUCUGCCGCAGCAUCGGGGAAGAGGCAACCUCGUCUCGCACCUGCACACUGGUCGGGUCGGAGGCUCGACCCGGCCCCUCCGACGAUCAAGUUAGCGACGUGGAGAGGGUGGUGGAAGAGGGAGUGCUUCUGUGGGCAGGACAGUACCUCUCGUGGCGUCUGACAUUGCCACUGGGGUUGCGUGGAGAACUGGGCUGCCAUAGGGUAUGGGCACGCCUCGGUCGACGUGCUCCUUUGCCUCGGUCGAACGCACGGAGUCAAAUGCUGAGGUUGUUGGCUGAGAACUGGUGAUGUUGGCGCACAUCAAGUCGGCAUUAAUGCUUGCUUCCUCGGGCAGUGCGUCCACCUGGCGUGACUGACGUCGUAGCGUGUCACGUCGCCAUUUUUUCCCUUAUCAGUAUCUAGUUUAUCAGCAUUCAUUUUUAGAUGCAGAUGGUCCUCCAUAAACCCAAACAGCCAGCUGUCACCCUAACUAUUGGUCUCUUCACUGAUACUAGGGAUGAAAAUGGAUCAAUACGAUUUGGUAAGAAAAAACCAUAUCUAUUUUGUCAGCAGACCUUUAGUGAUUUAGAUACAGAUGUAAACAAAUACUAAAUUCUAUAUACAGCUUGCAUUUGGAUUGCAUUUUGGGCUGAUGCAAUGGAAAUAAUACAUAAGUCGAGUCUGACAUUGAUAGAUAAUUAAGAAAAGAGUUCAAAUCAAUCAAUCAUUAAAUUUUUGGAAAGGAAAAUUUUAGAAUAAAUGUGAAAGAAAAGGAUUGGGAGAAAAAGAGAGAAAACUGUAUAUAAAAAGAAUCAAUUAAAUAACAACUUCCUUAGGUUAGUAUAGAUUGAUUAAGUUUGGAUACUCAAAUAAAGGAUAGAAUCGAACCCCAUGUUUGUAUUUUUAAGACUCAUAGCAGAGUUGGAUACAGAUGGGCACACACUUCAAAGCCAUAUCUGGCCCGUCGUUGAUAUGAAAAUGGUUUCAAAUGGAUAUUUUGCAACCCACCUUCACCUUUGAUAAUUUUUUUCCCAUCAAAGUUUUGUAGCUUGUUAUCAGUGUAUUCCAUCUUGAGUAAUUCU